rnacentral:rRNA from 1 species
AGAGUUUGAUCAUGGCUCAGAAUCAACGCUGGCGGCGUGCCUCAGACAUGCAAGUCGAACGCGAAAGCCCCCUUCGGGGGGCAAGUAGAGUGGCGCACGGGUGAGUAACACGUAGGUAAUCUACCUUUGGAUGGGGAAUAACAACCGGAAACGGUUGCUAAUACCGCAUAAUGCAGCGGCACCUAAUGGUGACAGUUGUUAAAGCGGGGGAUCGUAAGACCUCGCGUCUGAAGAGGAGCCUGCGGCAGAUUAGCUAGUUGGUAAGGUAAAGGCUUACCAAGGCGAUGAUCUGUAGCCGGCCUGAGAGGGCGGUCGGCCACACUGACACUGACAUACGGGUCAGACUCCUACGGGAGGCAGCAGUCGGGAAUUUUGGGCAAUGGGCGAAAGCCUGACCCAGCAACGCCGCGUGAAGGAUGAAAUCCCUCGGGAUGUAAACUUCGCAAGAACGGGAAGAAUAAGUAAGAGCUAACAUCUCUUACGAUGACGGUACUGUUUGUAAGCUCCGGCUAACUCCGUGCCAGCAGCCGCGGUAAUACGGGGGGAGCAAGCGUUGUUCGGAUUUACUGGGCGUAAAGGGCGCGUAGGCGGCCACCGCAAGUCGACUGUGAAAUCUCCGGGCUUAACUCGGAAAGGUCAGCCGAUACUGCGGGGCUAGAGUGCAGAAGGGGCAACUGGAAUUCUCGGUGUAGCGGUGAAAUGCGUAGAUAUCGAGAGGAACACCUGCGGCGAAAGCGGGUUGCUGGGCUGACACUGACGCUGAGGCGCGAAAGCUAGGGGAGCGAACGGGAUUAGAUACCCCGGUAGUCCUAGCCUUAAACGAUGAAUGCUUGGUGUCUGGGGUUUUAUAGUCCCCGGGUGCCGUCGCUAACGCUUUAAGCAUUCCGCCUGGGGAGUACGGUCGCAAGACUGAAACUCAAAGGAAUUGACGGGGACCCGCACAAGCGGUGGAGCAUGUGGUUUAAUUCGACGCAACGCGAAGAACCUUACCUGGG